rnacentral:rRNA from 1 species
UACGUAGGGGGCAAGCGUUGUCCGGAUUUAUUGGGCGUAAAGAGCGUGUAGGCGGCUUUGCAAGUCCGUUGUGAAAACUCGAGGCUCAACCUCGAGACGCCGGUGGAAACUGCAAAGCUAGAGUCCGGAAGAGGAGAGUGGAAUUCCUGGUGUAGCGGUGAAAUGCGCAGAUAUCAGGAGGAACACCCGUGGCGAAAGCGGCUCUCUGGGACGGUACUGACGCUGAGACGCGACAGCGUGGGGAUCAAACAGG